rnacentral:rRNA from 1 species
GACGAACGCUGGCGGCGUGCUUAACACAUGCAAGUCGAACGGUGAAGCGCCUUCCUUUUUGGUGGGUGUGGAUGAGUGGCGAACGGGUGAGUAACACGUGAGUAACCUGCCCCCUUCUUCUGGAUAACCGCAUGAAAGUGUGGCUAAUACGGGAUAUUCUGGGUCUGUCGCAUGAUGGGUCUGGGAAAGAUCUUGUUUCGGUGGGGGAUGGGCUCGCGGCCUAUCAGCUUGUUGGUGGGGUGAUGGCCUACCAAGGCGGGGACGGGUAGGCGACCUGGGAGGGUGGACGGUCACACUGGGACUGAGACACGGCCCAGACUCCUACGGGAGGCAGCAGUGGGGAAUAUUGCACAAUGGGCGCAAGCCUGAUGCAGCGACGCCGCGUGAGGGAUGGAGGCCUUCGGGUUGUGAACCUCUUUCGCCAGUGAAGCAGGCCUGCCUCGUUUGUGGGUGGGUUGACGGUAGCUGGAUAAGAAGCGCCGGCUAACUACGUG